rnacentral:snRNA from 1 species
UUCACGUCUUUUUGCGAAUUUCGCUAAGAUCAAUACGUAGUAUCUGUUCUUUCUAGUUUAACAGCUAGAAGAUAUCCGACAGGAUAUCCCAUCUGUUUUUCUCUUUUUGGUACUGUCGCUUGAGUUGUCCUCUGCGCUUGUGCAUGACUCUCUGGCAUUGUGUUCGAGACCUUACACUGCCGUCUUGUGACGCUAAGACAUC